rnacentral:rRNA from 1 species
UACGUAGGGUGCGAGCGUUGUCCGGAAUUAUUGGGCGUAAAGAGCUCGUAGGCGGCCUGUCGCGUCGGAUGUGAAAGCCCGGGGCUUAACCCCGGGUCUGCAGUGGAUACGGGCAGACUAGAGGUAGGUAGGGGAGAAUGGAAUUCCCGGUGUAGCGGUGAAAUGCGCAGAUAUCGGGAGGAACACCGGUGGCGAAGGCGGUUCUCUGGGCCUUACCUGACGCUGAGGAGCGAAAGCGUGGGGAGCGAACAGG